rnacentral:rRNA from 1 species
CAGUAGCCGCGGGAAUACGUAGGUGGCAAGCGUUGUCCGGAAUUAUUGGGCGUAAAGGGCUCGCAGGCGGUCUCUUAAGUCUGAUGUGAAAGCCCCCGGCUCAACCGGGGAGGGUCAUUGGAAACUGGGAAACUUGAGCGCAGAAGAGGAGAGUGGAAUUCCACGUGUAGCGGUGAAAUGCGUAGAGAUGUGGAGGAACACCAGUGGCGAAGGCGACUCUCUGGUCUGUAACUGACGCUGAGGAGCGAAAGCGUGGGGAGCGAACAGGAUUAGAUACCCGCGUAGUCCCUGUCUCUUAUAC